GGGGUGUGGGGACGAUGGAGGAGGUAGGUGCAGGCGGAUGUGGGAGCUUGUGGAAGUUCUCUUCUGAUGAAAUCAUCAGCUGAGAGUGAGCACAGGGGAGGAUGAGUGUACAUCGGAAGAGUCAGAAGAAGGGAUGAAAUAAUCUUCUGGGAGAGUGGGAGAGUGAAUGGUCUAAGAAAGGCAGUGAGAUUGCCAAGCUACCCUGGGGGUCUGCCUGAUGUGACUGGGCAGGCAUUUAAAACCAAACAAUGUGGUUGUGCAUUUCCCCCAGGCCUGUUCAGGGGCACGGGUGCAGGUGCAGAGUAGCAGAGUUGGAUUUGAAGAUGUUGGUCUGGGUGAGUGUAGCAGAGGGGCCAGGAAGCUGAGCAUGCAUAUAGAGGAGUGAACCGUAAUGAUCUCUAAUGAUGUAACAUAGAAUUUAAGGCACCCCAAAGAGGGAAGUGAGGGAACAAGUGUAAGAAACAAGGAAGGGUGAUAGGAUCCAUGGGCUGCUGGUCUCAAGGAAGUCAAAGAAUUGCUGGGAGUAUGGAGAUUCCUUAGAAAACUUGGAAUGGAACCACCAUUUCACCCAGGUAUCCCACUCCUCGGUUUAUACCCAAAGGACUUAGUAUACUACAGUGACACAGCCACAUCAAUGUUUAUAACAGCACAAUUCACAGCUAAUUGUGGAACCAACCUAGAUGUCCUUUAAUGGAUGAAUGGAUAAAGAAAAUGUGGUGUACAUACACAAUGGAAUAUUAAUCAGCAUUAAAAUCAUGGCAUUUGCAGGUAAAUGGAUGGAGCUGGAGAAUAUUAUGCUAAGUGAAGUAAGCCAAUCCCAAAAAACCAAAGG
rnacentral:lncRNA from 1 species